rnacentral:rRNA from 1 species
GACGAACGCUGGCGGCGUGCUUAACACAUGCAAGUCGAACGGUAAGGCUCCAGCUUGCUGGGGUACACGAGUGGCGAACGGGUGAGUAACACGUGGGUGACCUGCCCUGCACUUCGGGAUAAGCCUGGGAAACUGGGUCUAAUACCGGAUAGGACCAUGGUGUGGAUACUGUGGUGGAAAGUUUUUUCGGUGGGGGAUGGGCCCGCGGCCUAUCAGCUUGUUGGUGGGGUAAUGGCCUACCAAGGCGGCGACGGGUAGCCGGCCUGAGAGGGUGGACGGCCACAUUGGGACUGAGACACGGCCCAGACUCCUACGGGAGGCAGCAGUGGGGAAUAUUGCACAAUGGGCGGAAGCCUGAUGCAGCGACGCCGCGUGGGGGAUGACGGCCUUCGGGUUGUAAACUCCUUUCACCAUCGACGAAGGGUUUCUGACGGUAGAUGGAGAAGAAGCACCGGCUAACUACGUG